AGGUUAUCAAAGACCACAUCGCCUACCGCUACGAGGUCCUUCAGGUGAUGGGUGAGGGCACCUAUGGGCGAGUCUUCAAGAGCCGAGACCACAAAACCAAGCAGCUGGUAGCCAUGAAGGUCAUUGCGAACAACAAAAUGUUUGCAGCUGUGGCGACUGCGGAAGUGGAAAUUCUGGAGCUGCUGCAAAAAAACGACGAGAACGGCGUUGCCAACGUCGUCCACAUGAAGGAGCACUUCCACUUCCGGAACCAUAUGUGUAUCACCUUUGACCUUAUGGG